AGCCUGAAGAUAAAACACAGGAGAGAGAGAGAGAGACAGAAGAAAGAACACUUGUUAAUUGUGAAUUGUACAUCUAUCAUUAACUUCUGGCAGCAAGAAUCUUGUUAUCAGCUCUCUCAUACAAUGCUCAGUCAGCAAUUUACUACCCACACAUGAGAUAAACCUGCUUCCAUGUGGCCACUGAGUUGAAAAGAGUUUUACAGUUUUGAAAUGAAGAAAGAAAAUAAUGUAUUUUUUUUUACAUGUGAAACUCACCUGAAAUGUAAACUUUGGUGUCUGCAAUGCAGUUUUGUUUGAACACAGUUAAGUCUUUAUAUGUUGCCCAUGAGCUUGCUUUACUUAUACAGAAUCAAGUAGUUACGGGAGACACACUAACAGAGACAAGUUUGUAGACCCUGUUCUGUAAUGAAUGAAAGCUGGGGCUUCUGCGCCUAUGUCAUUCACACCUUCAUUUUAGUUUAAUCUACAAAUAAGAAUGAUAAGCUGACAUGUGCCCAGGAAUCUCAGGUUUGAGAAGCUCUAAUGGAAAAAAAAAAAAAAAAAAAAAACAUAAAUGAAACCCUAUGGAAGCCUUAGCAAGUCAUGGAAUUAUUUUCUCACAAAAAGCCAAAGACCUUUUCCCUGCAUCUAUGUGUGGGUCACUGUGGGCCAGACUCUCUGACACAUCUUCUUUCUGUCACUGCCUGAGCUAACUUCUCUGUCAACCUGUCCCCAGUUACGGCAGCAGAGUUUUCACCAAAUGACCCCUGAAGCUUUAAGUCUGGCUUCUCCCAGGUCGUUUCUCUGUUAAGCGAAGAAACCUUCCCUAAAAGUGGGUCUGAUUGUGCUCCUCAUCUAGGUCCAUGUCCCUGCGGCCCAUCUCUUUAUUCCCUGGGAACCCUACCCACUCAACACACCUGUAGCAGUGACACUGGUUGUUCCUGUGCCAUCCAGGCCAACCAAAACAAUGCUAUCAGUUAUCUGACUGGCCCUACUUUUAAACUGCCUUCCUUUUCUUCACCCUCCAUGCCCUCACACCUAUUUAGUUAGGACGCCUAAGGGCUUAGGUCUUAUCUAUCUCAUCCUGUCCUGCUGUAGUAGGAAGCAGAGGGUAGGUAAUUGUCUGAACACUAAUUAACAAUGGGAGCCUAUUAACACUGAGUUGCAUGAAUUUAAGAAAGCACCUCUUAUCUCUGAAUCCUUUAUUUUUGCCUCUGUUUAGAAUGCACCAAAUAAAUACCAACAGCAUACUUUACUUUCUAUCAACUCUUAAAACAGAAGAAAUCCUAGCAACUACUCAGAUCUAUAGUUCUAGCUUUAGAGCCAGAAACUUAUUAUCUCUGUCUCUUUUCACAGACGCUUGUAGGUUUAUUGUGCAGCAUCAUUUAUGAUAAGAGACACAAUUUACAGUAAGAAACAGAAUUUCUUGAUUAAGUAUAUAUUUUCCUCCCAUCCACAUUACCUCUGGAAGGCAUAGAAAAGCAUGCUUUCUUUUACCUGAUCAUGUCCCUAUUCAUAGCUGUCUGCUGUAUAUGGCUCACAUAUAAUCUGGGAACAGUCUUCAAGAGGUCCAUCUUUGACAUCACAACUUCCUAGGAGGAUCUCCCUAACUGGAUGCCCAUAGCUAACAGAAAUCCAGCUCUGCUCAUCAGUAGAGACGUUGAGAUGUAUAUGAUACCAUAUAUUUCAGCACAGUUUCAAGUGCUCUUGAAGAAAAGCUUUUCUUUUGCAUGAUCCCAAUCUCAAUCCCAAACACUCUAGAUUAUGACUACAAUACUGAUAAAUUUACAAAAGCAAGGGUCAGAGAGCACUGACUAUAGUCACAGAGAGCCCCCUGGCCUCUGCCUAGAAGUUUGCCAGGAAGAUGGGGAGGUACUGGCAUUCCUCUGAGUGACUUCACAUUUUUGUUAAGAGUUAAAAUAAAUUAUAAAGAUAUAUUUAUUCCAUAGCAUAUAAAAGCAAGGAACAGUGAGGAAGAGACACAUGAUAAUAGUCUUUAAAAUGAAUCCUAUCUCACCCUUUGCUAAGGUUGAGCGGGUUUGUUGUUGUUUGCUUGUGUUUAUGAGAAAGUAAAGGCUACGGGAAGCAAAAUCUAAGAUGGUAAUUGCAGCAGCUCAUGAAGUGGUAGAGUACAUGCUGACAGAGGGGUCCAGAGAGGUUGGGGUAAAGAAGGGAUAGGUUACAGGGGGCUUGGAAGAGCACAGGUUUGUUCACUGUAUGGGGCGUAUCUGCUAUGCCUUUGGGAAAAAAAAAUAUCAACUAGGUACCUAUCAUUUUCCUUCCUGCCCCUAGGCAGGACCUUUUCUAAAUAUGUGAGGGAUCAGUCCACAUACAGAGAGAAUAGAAGUAGCUGCUAAAUUAGAGAAGGCAGAAGUGGCUGCUCUCUCUAGGAAAGAGCUCCUGACUGGCUCCUGGCUUUCAGGGUUCACUGGGUCUCAAGGCGACCUUCUCCCCAACUAUUCUGUCCCUGUGAAUGCUUGGUCUAGGUGUUAGGGUAAGGGGCUGAUAGCAGCACUGAGCUGCUCACAGUACUGAGAUGCUCACACUGGUCUUCCCAUGAGCAGUCCCGAGCUGAGGACUGCAGAUGCUGGGGUAGGGACAAGAGAGGAUUCAUUGGCGGACUAGAACAAGUGACUAUGCAUACGAAUCGCUUUUUAUCACGGCUGAGGCCAUGUGCUCCUGUCACAGAGCCCGAAGGAUGGCCCCUCAUUUCAUGGGAACAAGUUUCUAACGCAUGGGGUAGCCCCACCCCUUCUUCACGGGCGGCUGUACUUGGAAGCAAAUGAUUUAGUGUUCCAGCAAGAGGAUCGUACAAAGAGAGUGCUCAUUAGAGGGGGCUCAGUCUGUCAGGUGUUCUUACACCAGGCUCAGGGAGUCAUCAUAAAACGACUUUCAGGCCGGUCUCGGCUGACAAUUAACUGCAAGCCAUUGCUUGUGUGUCACAGGGAGGCAAGGACGCUGAUUUACGCAGCAGUUUAAUUAUCCAGCCAAAAGCCUCUGCUCCCUGUGUUUGUAUCCAUUCUAGCUUGCUUCAUCUCUCCCCCAUAUUUCUGACAUUUGGAUUUUCCCCUACUAAUUGACAUGCCUGUCCCCUCCUUCUCCUGGUGUCCAUUUCUGGAACUGCUAUUUGUGUAUUGCAUGAUAUUUUAUCAGGGGGGGAAAAAAUAAAACUGAGAUUCAAUUUCAUGAAAAUGCUGUUGCCGUCUGCCCAGGAGGACAGGGGGAGGAGAGUCAAGUCUUCCUCCAUCUACCUCAUGCGCAGAGUUGAAGUUUUCUACUGAAGAUGGCAGACCUGGUAUCCUCACUGAUCUUCUUGCAGAACUGAAGAGGUUACUCAAGUGCGAUAUCCCAGGCUUAUAAAGCAUUGAACUCAAGUUGGCUUUAGAUAUCCUGUCCUGGAACCCCAAAAAGGACAUGCUCAACCUGCUCAGAUUUUGAUGACACUAUCCUACUAAAGAAAGAAAACUCUUUUUACUGGAACCUUAUCUAUAAGAUGUGUUUGGAUUUUGGAUGAUGGAGAUAGAAAUACCUUGACAACCAUGCUUUCAGCAGAGACUGAAAACAGCUACACUCUGCUCUCCUGCUUCAGCUCUGAUCUGCCUGCUGAUUCAGAUGCAGAACUUUCAGCUACCAUUCCAAAACCAUGUCUGACUGGACCCUGCCAUGCUUCCUGCUACGAUGAUAAUAGACUAAACCUCUGAAACUGAAAGCCAAAUACCAAUUAAAUACGUUUUUCUUUAUAAAAGUUGCCAUGGUCACGGUGUCUCUUCCCAGCAAUAGAAAUCAUAAGACAGAAGUUGGCAUCAGAGUUUGGGUUAUUUUGCUGUUACAGACCUGACCUUAUUUCUUGGUGGAAUGUGGACUUUGGGAUUCUGGAUUAGGAGCGCAGCUGACUGAUUUAAAUGGAACUUAGUGGACCAUACAAGUUGGAGCAGGGAAGGCAAUGAUAAGCAUAAUUACCACAAUAACAAUAAUUACCCCAUCAUGGAGACCACCACAGAAAACCACACCUGGACACAAUGCAUAGAUCAACAGGUCAUGGAAAGGCCAUGCCCAAGGUAUGUAUCUGCAACAGAGCUCCUACACCUAGGGCUCAGGGAGGAAGAGGUGGAAACAGCGUAAGAACCAGAACACCAGAAAAUCAACUGUACAGUCUCUCUUAGAAAUGACUGUGUAAACUAGACCAUGAAAACGGAAAUGUCAACGGACAUGGAAACAUGCAAGGGAGAAAAUUUUGCCAGGUCCCGCCCCUAGACAAAGAACUGCAACUAAUGACUGCUGGGAAGAGAAUUGGCCUCCUUUGGGGAUAUGACCCUUUUAUUGGCUGUCCAGUAUAAAGCCAUCAGCCCUGAAACCAGAUCCAGUAGCUAGGAUAAAUGUAUGCAUACAUGUACAAUAUGUAUGCAUAUAGGUACAUGUGUGCAUAUACAUACAUAAGCAUGUGUGUAACGAUAACAAAGAAAAAGGAGCUAUUAACUCUAAAGUGGUGGGGCUGAGCAUGGUUUGAGGAGUCCUGGGAGGGAUGGAGGGAGGAAAGGGAAGAUGGAAAGUGUUAUGAUUCUAUUGUAAUUGAGUUUAAAGGUAGCAGCAGGAGCUGCUUUCCACAGGCCUGUGGUGCACUUCGACGAUCUGAGAGGCACGAAUGUGCCAAGAUCCCAGGUGGCACUCCAGCCCAGGACACAGGAGUCCUCUCCUCCUUCCCCACCUGUGUAGACGGUGCUACCAUCCUCUGCUCUGGCUUUUAUGUUAAUGCAGUUAUUGUUUAGAGCUGUGGAUGAGCCCACCCUCUCUGUGGGAAUCUCCCCGGCCGAUCUCACUCACAGAACUCACCAGAACUCACAAGACUCAUUUUUUUUCAUUUAUAUCUUUCUUAUUUUCUGUCAUCACUCUUUCUUGAUAUGCCCCCAAAUAAACACAAAACAAGCAUAAAAAAUAAACCACAAGAAGAAGGAGGAAUAAAACUUUUUUUUUAAAUGCUCAGAGCAGUUAUAAUGAACAAACCUGGCAAAAUGUAUCUGGCUGUGUCAGCAUUUUCUGUCACCAGAAAUUUUAGAGGCUUGCUUCCUCUACACAAUGUUUGCAUCUUGAAGGCACGCCGAAGACAAGCUCUUGGCACACAUGCAAAGCCGCCUGUGCUUUGUGGAAGAUAUGGUCUUUAACCUCAGGCUGAACUAAAAAUCACUGGACAUUUUAAGAGUCGGCUUUGACCUCUCCAGGUCACUCAGGAUGGGAAUCUGCCUGGCAGUUGUUGGUGGUUUGAUUGAGCUCCAAUGCUGUUUUUCAGACUCUGCUUACGGUGUGGCCAAGUUAAACACACUGUCUUUUCAUCUCUCCUCUCCAGCCAGCCUCCAUCCUCAGGUCUUCAGUCAUUUUUUUUUAUUUUUUUAUUUUUUUGGUCCUCUGGAUGCUCUCCAACUUGUUGACAAAUCCUCCAGUCUUCAUCUAAAACUACUUCUUAGUUCCUUCCCGAUGGUAUCACACAGUGUUUCCUCAACAUCACUGUCUUACUCCAGUUCUGCCCACACAGUGAGUUGAGUGUGGGAGCAGGAGGACAAAGGAAAGAUGCAGAGAUGCUUGAGGGAGAGGGAGCAAGGAGGGGACAGAACAGGCUUCUUGGAAGAGGAAACAGCCGCACAGGGGCUGUCUUCUGCCUGGCCCCUCUGUUUUGAGUAUCUUUUCUUGACAGUGAAAUGCAUAUUGCUCAUCUCUUAAAAACUUACAAAACACAGACAUGUGAGCAGAAAAAUAAAACCCAUGGAUGGUCCAUAAACUACAUACAGUCACUGUUCAUAUUUUUGCUUUCUCCCAUUUUUUAUACAUAAACCUUUUAACCAAAUUUAAUUAGGUAUCAAGUUCUUUUUCUCAUGUUUUUCACCCACACUCUUAGUUCACUCUUUCAACAAUUACUUUAUCCAUGAGAACCAUGCUACCUUCAUUAUAAUAAAAAAAUAUACACAAUAAAAAUACAGUAUAAUUUUAUCUGUGCUCCUGUCUUUUUUCAAUAUUCUCCCAAUCAUU